CGAAGGCUGGGGCUGGCGAUGGGAGCAGGCUGGAGACGUCGAGGCAGCAGGAGGAUCAGAACCAGAAAAGACCUGCUGUCCUUUUACAUCACCGCUGCUCCUCACAGUCAGGUGCAGACAUCCCCCUCUGGGAACUGACUGUUACAGACCUGUCUUCUCCUGCUGGCCACGGAGUUCCAGGGCCCAAACAGGAAACUCUCACAAGUGUCACAUGGGGACUUAAAACCAGUAAGAAUGUCUAAGGAACCAACUAAUGGGUGUGAAAAGAAGAAAAAGGGAACCUGAAGGGGAGAAGAAGAGAAGCAAGAAAUGAAUUAGAAAUUUUAUGAAGUGAUUGAAAAUAGUAACUGUGACACUUUAUUCAUGUUAGUGAUAAAACCAUCUACUUUGACUUGGCAGGGCACCAGAUGACUCAUAUUCUAAGUUGACAUAUAAAAAAAUAAAUAAAUGUAAAUUCAGGUGCAAAUUAUACAGUAGGGAUGUUGAGGCAGUUGCCUGUUUUCACACUGUCCUGUUGGAUUCCCUUGCUGAAGAGAUGAUAAUGUGUGCUGAGGCUCAGGUAAACAAAAUAAACACAUUCUACCUCCCACAAAGUGCCACAUAUCCUUUACAGUAUUUGCAAUUUAAUUAUUACAAGCACUGAUUUCAAUCAGAUUCAAAAUCUCACUGUGUGUUAAAAAAAUUGUGUCUCCUUUAUUUCAUGUUAUUGCUUUUUAAUACCGCACUUUCCAUUUUUAAAAUGAAUGAAAAACAUUUUACUGUCAAAUAUUCACAAUAUACAAUGAAUAUCCCUUAAAUUAUUACUUCUUAGGAAUAUAAAGUAUGAGCAAUAGGAUUCAGAGGGGAAACGGAUGGUAAAUGACACAUGACACAGGAAUAUUACUCACAUUGACAUCCUCAGCACCUCAAGUCCAA